rnacentral:rRNA from 1 species
UACGAAGGGGGCUAGCGUUGCUCGGAAUCACUGGGCGUAAAGGGUGCGUAGGCGGGUCUUUAAGUCAGGGGUGAAAUCCUGGAGCUCAACUCCAGAACUGCCCUUGAUACUGAAGAUCUUGAGUCCGGGAGAGGUGAGUGGAACUGCGAGUGUAGAGGUGAAAUUCGUAGAUAUUCGCAAGAACACCAGUGGCGAAGGCGGCUCACUGGCCCGGUACUGACGCUGAGGCACGAAAGCGUGGGGAGCAAACAGG